AGACUAAGCCAUGCAUGUCCAAGUAUAAACGCUGUUAUACUGUGAAACUGCGAAUGGCUCAUUAAAUCAGUUAUAGUUUAUUUGAUGGUUUCUUGCUACUUGGAUAACCGUAGUAAUUCUAGAGCUAAUACAUGCAGAAAGUCCCGACUUCUGGAAGGGAUGUAUUUAUUAGAUCCAAAACCAGCGCGGGUCUCCUCGUGGGGCUCGGUUGCUCGGUGAUUCAUGAUAACUGCUCGAAUCGCAGGGCCUCGUGCCGGCGAUGAUCCAUUCAAAUUUCUGCCCUAUCAACUUUCGAUGGUACGGUAGUGGCCUACCAUGGUUGCAACGGGUGACGGAGAAUUAGGGUUCGAUUCCGGAGAGGGAGCCUGAGAAACGGCUACCACAUCCAAGGAAGGCAGCAGGCGCGCAAAUUACCCAAUCCCGACUCGGGGAGGUAGUGACAAUAAAUAACAAUGCCGGGCUAUGUUAGUCUGGCAAUUGGAAUGAGUACAAUCUAAACCCCUUAACGAGGAACAAUUGGAGGGCAAGUCUGGUGCCAGCAGCCGCGGUAAUUCCAGCUCCAAUAGCGUAUAUUAAAGUUGUUGCAGUUAAAAAGCUCGUAGUUGGAUUUCGGGGCAGCCCGUCUGGUCCGUCGCGAGGCGAGUACUGGUCGUGCGCCCUUCCUCUCGGAGGCCCCGACUGCUCUUCGUUGCAGUGGUCGGGGAGUUCGGGACGUUUACUUUGAAAAAAUUAGAGUGUUCAAGGCAGGCCGUCGCCUGAAUACGUUAGCAUGGAAUAAUGGAAGAGGACCUCGGUCCUAUUUUGUUGGUUUCCAGGGCCGAAGUAAUGAUUAAGAGGGACAGUUGGGGGCAUUCGUAUUUAAUUGUCAGAGGUGAAAUUCUCGGAUUUAUGAAAGACGAACAAGUGCGAAAGCAUUUGCCAAGGAUGUUUUCAUUAAUCAAGAACGAAAGUUGGGGGUUCGA
rnacentral:rRNA from 1 species